UCAAAGGCGGUCACAACAGGCAGACCAAAAAUCCAAGUAGUACCAGUAAAGUUCGUCGAAACAUGUCAAACAAUGUUUAUAAUCAAUCCUCAGGUUGUCUUUUGUCGAGAGUUGAGAGAACCUCCAUUCUGAAAGACUUGAAUCAGCAUUUUAUAGACGCAGGCAGUUUAUUUGAAAAGGUCAAAAGGUCUAAAUGAGCCCCCUAUGAAUUUACCUGACACCCCUGUGCACUCCUUCACCAGGUUAUCCUUCUCAUCCUUCUCUGUUUCAGAAGUGUGUAAAGCCCUGAAAGAAAUUGAUAGAAAAAAAUCCCCUGGCCCUGAUGAACUAGACCCCUGCUUCCUACACCUAGCUGCUGACAUCAUUGCUCCCCCCUAUAUGUUUAACCUCACUCUUGACGUUAAGGAAAUCCCCAAGUUAAAACCUGUUUUGGAAAGGCGUUCCGCUAGCGGCACACCUGGCCAACAUCCGGUGAAAUUGCAGAGCGCCAAAUUCAAAAACAGAAAUACUCAUAAUAAAAAUUCAUAAAACAUACAAGUGUUAUACAUCAGCUUGCAGAUUAAUUUCUUGUUAAUCCAGCCGUUGUGUCAGAUUUCAAAAAGGUUUUACGGCGAAAGCAUACCAUGCGAUUAUCUUAGGACCGUGCCCAGCACACAAAACCAUACAAACAUUUUCCAGCCAAGUAGAGGAGUCACAAAAGUCAGAAAAAGCGAUAAAAUGAAUCACUUACCUUUGAUGAUCUUCAUAUGGUUGCAGUCACAAGACUCCCAGUUACACAAUAAAUGUUUGUUUUGUUAGAUAAAGUCCCUCUUUAUAUGUUUUAUAUGUUUAUAUCUUUAUAUGUUUUCUUGCCACGUUUUCUUCAGUAAUCCAUUGGCUCAAAGGCGGUCACAACAGGCAGACGAAAAAUCCAAGUAGUACCUCUUUAUAUAAAAAAAAACUCAGUUUUGUUGGCGCGUUUUGUAAAGUUCGUUGAAACAUGUCAAACGAUGUUUAAAAUCAAUCCUCAGGUUGUCUUUUGUCCAAAUAAUCUAUAAUAUUUCAACCGGACAAUAGCGUCCACUGUCCACUAAUUCAAUGUGGUCAUUCUUCCUCAUUCUUCAGGAUACAAGCCUGAAACAAUUUUUAAAGACUGUUGACAUCUAUUGGAAGCCAUAGGAAGUGCAAUCUGAGUCCUAAGCCAUUGGACACUGUGUAGACAUUCAUUUGAAAACUACAAACAUAAAGAAAUCCCACUUCCUGGAUGGAUUUUUCUCAGGUUUUCACCUGC
rnacentral:lncRNA from 1 species